GCAGACACAUUCCAGCCAAUCAGCAGCAGACCCUCCCUCCCAGACCCUUCCACCUCCUGGACAGCUCACUAAGAAUGCAGCUUCACAAUGGAUGCUGUCCAGGAGGUGGGAGGGUCUCGGAGGGAGGGUCUGCUGCUGAUUGGCUGGAAUGUGUCUG